rnacentral:rRNA from 1 species
ACCGUGUGCUUACAAGUAGUCAGAGCCCGUUAAUGGGUGAUGGCGUGCCUUUUGUAGAAUGAACCGGCGAGUUACGAUCUGAUGCAAGGUUAAGCAGGAGAUGUGGAGCCGUAGCGAAAGCGAGUCUGAAUAGGGCGUUGAGUAUUUGGUCGUAGACCGAAACCAGGUGAUCUACCCAUGGUCAGGUUGAAGUUCAGGUAACACUGAAUGGAGGACCGAACCGACUUACGUUGAAAAGUGAGCGGAUGAACUGUGGGUAGCGGAGAAAUUCCAAUCGAACUUGGAGAUAGCUGGUUCUCUCCGAAAUAGCUUUAGGGCUAGCCUCAAGUGAUGAUUAUUGGAGGUAGAGCACUGUUUGGACGAGGGGCCCCUCUCGGGUUACCGAAUUCAGACAAACUCCGAAUGCCAAUUAAUUUAACUUGGGAGUCAGAACAUGGGUGAUAAGGUCCGUGUUCGAAAGGGAAACA